UACGGAGGGGGCAAGCGUUAUUCGGAAUUAUUGGGCGUAAAGAGCGUGUAGGCGGCUUUGCAAGUCCGUUGUGAAAACUCGAGGCUCAACCUCGAGACGCCGGUGGAAACUGCAAAGCUAGAGUCCGGAAGAGGAGAGUGGAAUUCCUGGUGUAGCGGUGAAAUGCGCAGAUAUCAGGAGGAACACCAGUGGCGAAGGCGGUGCUCUGGGCCGGAACUGACGCUGAGGAGCGAAAGCGUGGGGAGCAAACAGG
rnacentral:rRNA from 1 species